AGAGUUUGAUUCUGGCUCAGGAUGAACGCUAGCGGCAGGCCUAAUACAUGCAAGUCGAGGGGCAGCAGGGGUAGCAAUACUCGCUGGCGACCGGCGCACGGGUGCGUAACACGUAUGCAACUUUCCUUCAACUGGAAGAUAGCCCGAAGAAAUUCGGAUUAAUAUUCCAUAGUUAUAUGAAAUGGCAUCAUUUUAUAUUUAAAGCUCAGGCGGUUGAAGAUGGGCAUGCGUUCGAUUAGCUAGUUGGUGAGGUAAUGGCUCACCAAGGCUACGAUCGAUAGGGGAUCUGAGGAUUAACCCCCACACUGGUACUGAGACACGGACCAGACUCCUACGGGAGGCAGCAGUAAGGAAUAUUGGACAAUGGAGGCAACUUUGAUCCAGCCAUGCCGCGUGAAGGAUGAAGGUCCUAUGGAUUGUAAACUUCUUUUGAACGGGAGAAAACCUUCGGUCGUGUACCGAAGCUGAUAGUACCGUUAGAAUAAGGGUCGGCUAACUUCGUGCCAGCAGCCGCGGUAAUACGAAGGACCCGAGCGUUAUCCGGAUUUAUUGGGUUUAAAGGGUGCGUAGGCGGAAUGGUAAGUCAGUGGUGAAAUCUUGUGGCUUAACUGCAAAACUGCCAUUGAUACUGCCAAUCUUGAGUACAUUUGAUGUGGGCGGAAUGUGCCAUGUAGUGGUGAAAUACUUAGAUAUGGCACAGAACACCGAUCGCGAAGGCAGCUCACAAAACUGUUACUGACGCUGAGGACGAAAGCGUGGGGAUCAAACAGGAUUAGAUACCCUGGUAGUCCACGCCUCAAACUAUGAUUACUCGAUGUGUGCGAUACACAGUACGCGUCUAAGCGAAAGCGUUAAGUAAUCCACCUGGGGAGUACGGUCGCAAGAUUGAAACUCAAAGAAAUUGACGGGGGCCCGCACAAGCGGAGGAGCAUGUGGUUUAAUUCGAUGAUACGCGAGGAACCUUACCUGGGCUUGAAAGUUAGUGAAUGCUGUGGAAACAUGGCAGGCCGCAAGGACACGAAACUAGGUGCUGCAUGGCUGUCGUCAGCUCGUGCCGUGAGGUGUUGGGUUAAGUCCCGCAACGAGCGCAACCCCUAUCUUUAGUUGCCAGCGAGUAAUGUCGGGGACUCUAAAGAAACUGCCCGUGCAAACGGUGAGGAAGGUGGGGAUGACGUCAAGUCAGCACGGCCCUUACGUCCAGGGCUACACACGUGCUACAAUGGCGAGUACAAAGGGCAGCUACAUGGUGACAUGAUGCUAAUCUCUAAAACUCGUCUCAGUUCGGAUUGAAGUCUGCAAUUCGACUUCAUGAAGCUGGAUUCGCUAGUAAUCGAAUAUCAGCAAUGAUUCGGUGAAUACGUUCCCGGGCCUUGUACACACCGCCCGUCAAACAAUGGAAGCUGAGGGUACUUAAAGUCGAUAACCGCAAGGAGUCGCCUAGGGUAAAAUCGGUAACUGGUGUUAAGUCGUAACAAGGUA
rnacentral:rRNA from 1 species